rnacentral:rRNA from 1 species
AUAUAUCGGAACGUACCCAGAAGUGGGGGAUAACGUAGCGAAAGUUACGCUAAUACCGCAUACGAUCUACGGAUGAAAGUGGGGGACCUUCGGGCCUCAUGCUUUUGGAGCGGCCGAUAUCUGAUUAGCUAGUUGGUGAGGUAAAGGCUCACCAAGGCGACGAUCAGUAGCUGGUCUGAGAGGACGACCAGCCACACUGGAACUGAGACACGGUCCAGACUCCUACGGGAGGCAGCAGUGGGGAAUUUUGGACAAUGGGCGCAAGCCUGAUCCAGCAAUGCCGCGUGAGUGAAGAAGGCCUUCGGGUUGUAAAGCUCUUUUGUCAGGGAAGAAACGGCUGAGACUAAUAUUCUUGGCUAAUGACGGUACCUGAAGAAUAAGCACCGGCUAACUACGUGCCAGCAGCCGCGGUAAUACGUAGGGUGCAAGCGUUAAUCGGAAUUACUGGGCGUAAAGCGUGCGCAGGCGGUUUUGUAAGUCUGUCGUGAAAGCCCCGGGCUCAACCUGGGAAUUGCGAUGGAGACUGCAAGGCUUGAAUCUGGCAGAGGGGGGUAGAAUUCCACGUGUAGCAGUGAAAUGCGUAGAGAUGUGGAGGAACACCGAUGGCGAAGGCAGCCCCCUGGGUCAAGAUUGACGCUCAUGCACGAAAGCGUGGGGAGCAAACAGGAUUAGAUACCCUGGUAGUCCACGCCCUAAACGAUGUCUACUAGUUGUCGGGUUUUAAUUAACUUGGUAACGCAGCUAACGCGUGAAGUAGACCGCCUGGGGAGUACGGUCGCAAGAUUAAAACUCAAAGGAAUUGACGGGGACCCGCACAAGCGGUGGAUGAUGUGGAUUAAUUCGAUGCAACGCGAAAAACCUUACCUACCCUUGACAUGGAAGGAAUCCCGAAGAGAUUUGGGAGUGCCCGAAAGGGAACCUUCACACAGGUGCUGCAUGGCUGUCGUCAGCUCGUGUCGUGAGAUGUUGGGUUAAGUCCCGCAACGAGCGCAACCCUUGUCAUUAGUUGCUACGCAAGAGCACUCUAAUGAGACUGCCGGUGACAAACCGGAGGAAGGUGGGGAUGACGUCAAGUCCUCAUGGCCCUUAUGGGUAGGGCUUCACACGUCAUACAAUGGUACAUACAGAGGGCCGCCAACCCGCGAGGGGGAGCUAAUCCCAGAAAGUGUAUCGUAGUCCGGAUUGUAGUCUGCAACUCGACUACAUGAAGUUGGAAUCGCUAGUAAUCGCGGAUCAGCAUGUCGCGGUGAAUACGUUCCCGGGUCUUGUACACACCGCCCGUCACACCAUGGGAGCGGGUUUUACCAGAAGUAGGUAGCU